UGAUUUCAACAUAAGCAAGAUUCAUGAAGCUAUUAUGGGUGCAGUUUCUUUAGUACAACAAAGUGCCCGAUUUGUGAAUCAUCCUAUUGCAAUUUGAUUUCCGCUAUGAGAUUUUACCCAGUAACCUGUUUCACGAUGCUUCUUGUGGUAUUUCUACCCAUUGGAGACGCAACAAAUACCAAAAUAAAAGAACCACCAAGUUAUGAAGCAAAAAUUGUACCUGAAAACUUCAAGGACGCAAGAUUGGCUCUGGGAUAUGACAAUUUCCAGAGGUUGCCUACUUCUGGUGGACUCAACCAACCGAAGAAGUAUGCAUGGGAUAACAAUGGUCCUCAAGUCAAACUCAAUUUCAGAUUUUGAGAAUUAACAGUCUUCUCUAUGUUUUUCUACUAACCAAAAUGAACCAAUAGUGAAAGUUUAAUGUUAACAUUUAGUUUAUCAAAUAGAUCUGUCGAAGAAUAAAAAAGGUCAUUCUUAGUAAGAGAGA